AUUGAACGCUGGCGGCAGGCUUAACACAUGCAAGUCGAGCGGGGAAAGGUAGCUUGCUACCUGACCUAGCGGCGGACGGGUGAGUAAUGCUUAGGAAUCUGCCUAUAAGUGGGGGACAGCAUCUCGAAAGGGAUGCUAAUACCGCAUACGUCCUACGGGAGAAAGCAGGGGACCUUCGGGCCUUGCGCUAAUAGAUGAGCCUAAGUCGGAUUAGCUAGUUGGUGGGGUAAAGGCCUACCAAGGCGACGAUCUGUAGCGGGUCUGAGAGGAUGAUCCGCCACACUGGGACUGAGACACGGCCCAGACUCCUACGGGAGGCAGCAGUGGGGAAUAUUGGACAAUGGGCGGAAGCCUGAUCCAGCCAUGCCGCGUGUGUGAAGAAGGCCUUUUGGUUGUAAAGCACUUUAAGCGAGGAGGAGGCUACCUGGAUUAAUACUCUAGGAUAGUGGACGUUACUCGCAGAAUAAGCACCGGCUAACUCUGUGCCAGCCGCCGCAGUAAAAC
rnacentral:rRNA from 1 species